AACGUUACCACAGAAGAUAAGGAUCAAAACCAGAUCCAUGGGUGAUAAGGCUAACAAAAUACCGAACCUCUGAGCUGAUGGGCGGGAGGCAGUCCUUGGAGAGAAAUGGCUGGCUAUGAUCAGAAGCGUGGUCAGUACUGCUGAAGUCAUAAGGCUUUAACCAGAAGCAUUUCCAUCUUGUGGCAGUCCUUUGUGACGGGUACCACUGCUCCAAGAACUCUUCUGUGUGUGGUGUAAAAAGCGGGGAAACCAGGAAUGGACCCUGGCUUGAAAGGUGUUGGAGGUAGUCACUGGAGCAACAUCACCCAAAAUUUGUGUCCAUUUGAAAUGCUCCGUGUUUGUAAUCGCUGAGCAAGAAUGAGCAGGUCUUGGCUGUUGGCAUCUCUUUCAUGGUAACUGAAGCACGCUGAGUAAGAAGCGUACCUGAAAGAAAAGAGGGAGUUUAAACAGAGCUGGAAGAUGGAGGCAAACAGAAAAAAAUAGAAGCGUCAAGUUUUUAAACAGAAAAUAAAGAAGCCUAUAACCUAAAAACCCGCAAGCCUGAAGUUUGCCAUUCAGUCACCAGACCGAAGGGAACACGUCCAUACAGCUCCAGCUCGUGCAGCGUAACAGUCCUAUUGUUCUUGGUUGACUUCUGCCGAGCUUCCCGUGCUUGGAGUCAGCCUUGCAGUCUCAGUGAGCCCACGCCUACACAAACCAGAGCAAGUUCCGCAGGGAGAUGGGCACGGCUCCGCUCCCAGCUCUGGCUUCCAGGCUCAAGACUCUUUUUCUUCUUGAGGGAAAAACAGGGUGUGUGCUGGAGAGAAGGUUGGACCUAG
rnacentral:lncRNA from 1 species